UGGGGAAUAUUGCACAAUGGGGGAAACCCGUAGCAUGCAGCAACGCCGCGUGAAGGAAGACGGUUUUCGGAUUGUAAACUUCUUUUCUUAGUGAAGAAACAAAUGACGGUAGCUAAGGAAUAAGCAUCGGCUAACUACGUGCCAGCAGCCGCGGUAAUACGUAGGAUGCGAGCGUUAUCCGGAUUUACUGGGUGUAAAGGGAGCGCAGGCGGGACUGCAAGUUGGAUGUGAAAUACCGCAGCUUAACUGCGGAGCUGCAUCCAAAAACUGUAGUUCUUGAGUGGAGUAGAGGCAAGCGGAAUUCCGAGUGUAGCGGUGAAAUGCGUAGAUAUUCGGAGGAACACCAGUGGCGAAGGCGGCUUGCUGGGCUCUAACUGACGCUGAGGCUCGAAAGUGUGGGGAGCAAACAGGAUUAGAUACC
rnacentral:rRNA from 1 species